rnacentral:rRNA from 1 species
GACGAACGCUGGCGGCGUGCCUAAUACAUGCAAGUGGGACGCAAGGGAACACACUGUGCUUGCACACCGUGUUUUCUUGAGUCGCGAACGGGUGAGUAACGCGUAGGUAACCUGCCUAUUAGCGGGGGAUAACUAUUGGAAACGAUAGCUAAUACCGCAUAAUAUUAAUUAUUGCAUGAUAAUUGAUUGAAAGAUGCAAGCGCAUCACUAGUAGAUGGACCUGCGUUGUAUUAGCUAGUUGGUAAGGUAAGAGCUUACCAAGGCGACGAUACAUAGCCGACCUGAGAGGGUGAUCGGCCACACUGGGACUGAGACACGGCCCAGACUCCUACGGGAGGCAGCAGUAGGGAAUCUUCGGCAAUGGACGAAAGUCUGACCGAGCAACGCCGCGUGAGUGAAGAAGGUUUUCGGAUCGUAAAGCUCUGUUGUAAGU